AUCAAUAAGCGGAGGAAAAGAAACUAACAAGGAUUCCCCUAGUAACUGCGAGUGAAGCGGGAAAAGCUCAAAUUUAAAAUCUGGUGGUCUUUGGCCAUCCGAGUUGUAAUUUAGAGAAGCAUUUUCCGCGCUGGACCCAUGCACAAGUCUCCUGGAAUGGAGCGUCAUAGAGGGUGAGAAUCCCGUCUUUGGCAUGGACACACCAGGGCUGUUGUGAUGUGCUCUCGAAGAGUCGAGUUGUUUGGGAAUGCAGCUCAAAAUGGGUGGUGAACUCCAUCUAAAGCUAAAUAUUGGCGAGAGACCGAUAGCGAACAAGUACCGUGAGGGAAAGAUGAAAAGCACUUUGGAAAGAGAGUGAAACAGUACGUGAAAUUGUUGAAAGGGAAACGCUUGAAGUCAGUCGCGUCGACCGAGACUCAGCCUUGCCUUGGCUUGGUGUACUUCUCGGCUGACGGGUCAGCAUCAAUUUUGCCCCUUGGAUAAUGGCAAGGGAAAUGUGACACCUUUUUAGGUGUGUUAUAGUCUCUCGUCGCAUGCAAGGGUCGGGAUUGAGGAACUCAGCACGCGCCUUUGGGUGUCGGGGCUUUGCCCACGAUACGUGCUUAGGAUGCUGGCGUAAUGGCUUUAAACGACCCGUCUUGAAACACGGACCAAGGAGUCUAACAUGCCCGCGAGUGUUUGGGUGGAAAACCCAUCCGCGAAAUGAAAGUGAAAGUUGGGACCUCUGUCGUGGAGGGCACCGACACCCGGACCAGACCUUCUGUGACGGAUCUGCGGUAGAGCGUGCAUGUUAGGACCCGAAAGAUGGUGAACUAUGCCUGAAUAGGGUGAAGCCAGAGGAAACUCUGGUGGAGGCUCGUAGCGAUUCUGACGUGCAAAUCGAUCGUCAAAUUUGGGUAUAGGGGCGAAAGACUAAUCGAACCAUCUAGUAGCUGGU
rnacentral:rRNA from 1 species